AUUUAAAUAAUGUCACUUACUGAAAAAAUACCCUUGAUUGUUUUGAUAUCAUAGGCUUAGUGCUUGAUUUUGAUUGUUAGUUUUUUACGAUAGUUGUGUUAUAUCCACUUGGAAACUUUUAGAAUUUAUAUAUAUUAAAUAUAUAUUAGAAAGAGGAAAAAUUAUGUCUCUAGUAGCUAUUGUAUUCAACUAGUUCUUUCUACCAUGGAAAUCUAUUUGUUUAGUUUCAUGUCACCAUGUUCUAUUAGUCAGAGGAUACAGAGUGACGCACCUGGUGUACAUGCACCAUCUCUUACAUUCAUGUGGAACUCACUCUCUAUAUUAAUUACAAGGAGAGUCACUUUUUUGUGAGAGAAUUUAGCGCUCUCAAUGUGUAAUCAUUGGCCAUGUUUUUCAACUUUUUAUUUUUUUUAUUUUCUUCUUUAUUACCAACCAAAUAUGAGUUCGUUGACAAUUAUCGAUGGCAAAUUUUUGUAUGCAAUUUAUUUUAAAAUUUUAUUUUUUAUUUUCUUCUUAAUAUUUCUGACCAAAUAUGAGAUCGUUGGUAUUUCCCUAUGAAACAUGUUCGUAAGCAAUUUAUUUUAAAAUUUUGUUUUUUAUCUUCUUCUUAAUACCAACCAAAUAUGAGUUCAUUGGUAAAUAAAGAUGAAAAUUUUUCGUAGGUAAAAUUUUUAUGCUUUUUAAUUUUUUUAAUUUUUUUCUUUAAAUUAUCAAUCAAAUACGAGUUCGUUAGUAAUUACGGACUAAACAUUUUUGUAGAUAAAAUUUUUUAAGCUUUGUUUUUUUUAUUUCCUUCUUAAUAUUACCGAAAACAAAUUUUCGUAGAUAAUUUAUUUUAAAAUUUUAAUUUUUAUUUUCUUCUUAAUUUUACUGACCAAAUAAGGGGUUGCUAAUAUUUACCGAUGAAACAUAUUCGUAGGUAAUUUAUUUUAACAUUUUGUAUUUUAUCUUUUUCUUAAUAUUAUCAACCACAUUUGUGUUUGCUGGUUAUUAACGACG
rnacentral:misc_RNA from 1 species